rnacentral:piRNA from 1 species
UCCUUCCCAGGACUGCAAGAUGGAGG